GUCUGAGUCUGACUCUAAGGGAAGGCAUGGUAGGGGAAAUUAAAUCGACUGAAGCGUUCGCAGUGGUCACUUUGAGCAUUACGAGAGGCUAUUAUAACCGAAAUUAUAAACAAAUACACGUUAAAAUUUUUUGUUUGUUUCAAUUAUAAUAAAUUAAAUAAAAAUGGGUCACCAUGGAAAAUAAAUCAACGGAAACGGUGGAUAGCUGCAGUUAAAAGGUUCAAGUAAGUAGUACCUUAACCUUAUUGUUAUCAAAAAUAAUAAUUCGGAGUAUUGUAAAUCUUUUUCUUUGUUAUAAUUUUCCAUUUUUAAACCAUAUCUAGUUGAACUGCUGUCAUAAAACUUUUGUAUUAUGAACGUUAGAACUUGCAGAAAUUUUUAAGCGUCUAGCUUGAAACCAAUUGUUACAAGAAGAUUGCUUAACAGUUUCACAAGACAAAUUAUCUAUUCCAUCUUCCGAUAAUUACACGUUUUUCAAAUAAAACUCUCGGUGGUUUGUAUCCAGUUCAUACUCACUUUCAUAAAUAAAAUACUCUUCGAAAAAAAUUAAGAAAUUAUUGACACAUGCAGCACAUUUUUCUUUUUCUAAAUUCAAUUCUAUUUGGGUCAACAGAGAAUUGAUGACAUUUCUUACUUUAUGUUCAUUAUUUUUUGUCAAUUGUGAAACGUUCUGAAGUUGAUGUAAUCUAAUGUACUUAUAUACGUUUAAUGCAUUCUGUUAUAUAUUUUAUCAUUAUACUUACUUGUGUUUUUGGCUUGUUCAAGAUAAUUAUAAAAUUGUAGUAAGUAUUAGAUUGUCACAAUUUUUUUGACGACUAAUUUAUUACUAUUUAUUAUACUUUUUUCCAAAAUUUUUCCGUUUACUAUUGAAAAAGUAUGCAGUAUGCAGCAUGUCCGGAAUUGAAUAUUAUUGUUAGAAUAGAAGUCGUUUACAUAGUAGAAGGCACUUUCCAGUAAAUUUGCUUUCAAAUUAUUGCUGAAUGCGGAAAAAGAUAAUAUCGAUUUGAUUUCAAUUGGCAAGUGAUUGUGCAAUUUUUUGCAUUGUAAAAUAUUGAGCCAUUAACUAAUUCUGAACGUGGAGUAGGUAGGACUUUUUAAUCUUUCGCAGAAGUCCCUGCAGUGAGCCCGGCUGUUUAGUUCGAGUAAAUAUCUAACAGUUCUCGUUUGUAGUUUGAAGAUUCACUCACAUUGAGUCGCACCACACGUACUCCAGAAGGGAAGCGCAUAUCGAAGAUGCGAUUCAAUAAGGGCAUAAUAAACUAUUAAGGAGGUGGUUCUUUGGAAACUGAUUUCAGCGAAACACAGGAGGAACUUAAUUUUUUAGAUAAGGUGGCAAUAUAAACUCCCAUUUCUAGGAAUUGUCCACAACAAGCACUAAGAAUUUUACGACGACGUCAAUUUUUCAUAUGAUAAAACUUUGUUUUUAUUAUCUGCAAAUCAAUAUAUUUUACAACUGAUGUCUAGAUAGGCGAUGUCGUUUUUUGACAAUAAAGCGUUUUUAUUAUAAAUUUCCAUCUAAUUGAGCUUUUGCCAAAGAAAAACUAGAAUGAGACACAUUAUAUUAUAAUUUGGUUCCGUCUGCACAAGGAUUCUUUUUUGAAUAAUAUAUAUAAACAUUUUUAAAAAACAAAGCAUCGAAACCAGAGCUGUUUCCGACGAAAUCAGCUGUUAAAUGUAUUCAUCGAUAUGAGUCAUAAUAAUUUUGAAUAAAAUAAUAUUUAAGGAAUACGCCUUAAGCUAGCAUAGCACAUUAAGAUACAUAUUUAGUACAAUAAGAAUUAGAAAUAGAUAAUAAAUAAAAAUUUGUAUUAUAAACCGAUUUUUUGGAUUUAAUUUGUGAACAAAUUGAGCCGAUUUCGUCUAAUGUCUUAUUCAAGACUAGAUUCAUUUAUUCUUAAUAUUAUUUUACAGAUUUCACAGUUCAGAUUGUUUCAUAAUAGAAACCUUUAUCCGUAGGGGAGAUUGGGUAACAAUGAGACAAGGGUAAUAAUGAGACGCACCCCAUAUUAUAGUUAAUUUUUAUAUUUCACAGUUGGCACUACAUGUACAUGUUGGUAAUCAUAACAGUUCACCGUGGUGAAAUUUCGCGCUGAAAGUAAAUAUUCACAGUUUACUAAGUGACGUUUUAUGAGCAUUCGAGGUUGAACAACUUUCGUGACAUUAAAGUGUACUAGAGAGUAGUGUUUGAUGACGUUCCAAGACCCUGAUUAUUCGUAACUUCAAUUGCAAUAUUUACUUAUAAUGAACUAUUUUGUUUUCCAGAAGGCCCAAAAAUGCAUAGAAACCCUCCACGAAGAACUAAUCGGUGAAUCUUUUUAGGGGAUGUAAUGAAGAGGCUUUACUAAAUGGUCACAGUGAAAGGUCCGUGGCAAAAGAAAAAAGAUUGAGUUUUAAAAUUGCAAAAUAGAAUGUUAAUAAUAUUUUCAUGUAAAAAUUGUAAUAACAUGAUUGUAUUUUCUUAUUUCAAAUACGUAAAGAAAACCAAAGAAAAUGGAAAUUAAAUAAUUAGAUAUACGCCCAACUAUGUCAAUAUAAUUUUUAGUGAGGAGCAAAAAACGACUUUGGCAAACUAUUUGAUUAAAUGUUUAAAUGUUUUCGGCACUCUGUAAGACUUCUUGCUAACGAUAUGGCAACUAUAAAUAAAUUGAACACUCUUGUGUCUUGGGAGGUGUAUCAGACUGCAGGCAAAGAAUAGAUGAUGCGACGGAAUCUAAAUAUUCCAUUAAGAACUGCAGAAAGGUGUAGUUUGGCAUGGGCUACAUUUUUGAAUCAAUAUAAUGUCAAUUCUAUUUUUGAUAAUUCACAUAACGUAAUAAGAGAAAUUUGCCAAUGGAAUUAGAAUAUAUAAUUUAGAUGAGACUACGAGAGUGAUGGUUCAGAAAUAACCAAAAGUUUUGGCACAAAAAGGAACAAAGCAAGUUAUUAAGGUCACCUGAGGUCAAAAAUGGUUGUUGGUAACAAGUGUUUCUGAGAAUUAUUUACAAGAUCUCUGAUGCAGCAUCUGGAAGGAUGAAUGCAACUUUAUAUAUUAUAUAUAAUGGAGCAUUUUAUCCAUCAUACUUGCAGCUCCAAAGACAAUCCUAUCUUAUUUUUCUAUGAUAAUCAUGAGCGUCACUUAUCAAUGGAUGUAUUAAAUCUCGCAAAAGAAAACGGUGCCACAAUAGUAACAUUUCCACCUGACGCAACCAACAAAUCACAAUCUUUGGACGUCGGUUAGGUUAGGUUAGGUCUAAAUAUGAAUUUAGAAAAUGUGUUGGUCAAUGGUCAAUGGUCAAUGGUCAAUUUACAUCGCCAGAAGACUUCCGUGGCUUUUUCCAAGCCGAGAAAUUCGCUAUAAUGGAAUGCGGACGCGCAAUACUCAAUCGAAGCCAUAGGAAAAGAGUAAUCUCAAUCUGCUCUGACAGUAGAGCUACCAUAUAAGCUACAACGGCUAUAAUUUCAAUCUGCUCAGAUAGCAUAGUUGCAAUACAAGCCAUAAUGAAAAGAUGUGCUCUAAGCUAGUGCUGCAGUGUAAAAGAUUUCUACAGAAUCUGGUGAGUGAUGGCUGCAAGAUCCAGCUCGUUUCGAUGCCUCGCCACUCGAGAAACAAAGGCAAUGCCGAAGUGGACUCACUUGCCAGACUCGGAUCAGCGAAUUCACCUAUGGGUCCAGAAUACAUUAUCAAUGUAACUAAAAGUCUGUUUGCAAGGCGGGCUCAGCGGAGAUGGAUAGAUACAAGCGAAGAGCAUGGCACCAUGGGCAUAACGGAUGAUCAGGAGUGCCUCUGGUGCAUGGAUGAGGAUGAAACUACAGCCCACGUCAUCUGUAAGUACCCGAAAUUCACACGAGCGUGGUUCAAACACUUGGGCAACCCUGACAGUUUGUCUAAUGACAUCAAAAGGUUCAAGUCAAAGAAAAGUGAACCAAAAAGAAAAAACAAAAAAGAAGUAGCAUGAUACCAACGGACACACCAGAUUAAGCCGAGCUAGAAGAAAAACAUUGUAAUAAAAAAACCGCAACAACAAAAAAAGAACAGUUAAACGAAAAAUUAAUAACAGCAAUGAUGAAGAGGGAGAGUGACAAUGGGAUGACUCUUCAGACUAUAAUAUUGAGAUGGAAUCAGACCCAAUGCAUUUUAAGGAGUUAGAACGGAGUCCAGAGGUGGAAGACUACACUCUCGUAGAAUUUGUAACAAAACAACAAAAAUCUAAAAUUAUUUACUAUGUUGGAAAACUGUCGUCCUUUACCGCGAAUAAAAUGUUUUAAUUCCUUUUUAAGAAGAAGUGAAGAAGUUAAAAAUAAAUUUUAUAUUCCACCAGUUCCUGAUACAUCUGACCUUUCCAAAAAUGACAUUACUUCCCCCGGGAAAUUAUGGUCAUACGAAAUGGCAAAAUUCUGAUUUUUCCUUUGAAAUUGAUUUUGCUUUAACAAUGGGGUACCAAUGAGACUAAUGCUCUUCCAACGUGCAGAGUGAUUAACUACCUAACUAACUAAGAAAUACUGCCAAUCAAUAUGAAAAUUCAACAAAAAAGCGUCUCAUUGUUACCCACUCUCCCCUACAUUUCUUUUAAUUGAGUGCAAUAUAUAUUUUAAAUUACAAUAAUAUUUUUGAUGACAUUUCAAAACGUGAAUUCAAAUUAGGAAAUAAUAUAUUCAUAACAAAAUACACUUAGUCUACAAAUGAUAUGUUUACAUUGAAUUUAUUUCAUAUUGACAUAUGAAUGAUGUGAUAUUUCGAUGAUAUUUUAUACUAGGCGUCAAUUUAAAAACGUACCAAUAUCUGUUUUAAAGCAAAUUGAAAAAUAUGAAUAUCCGCAUUACACUAAUUUUUAAGGGCGCCAGCUCCUUCAGUUCAAUUACAUGAAUCCUCUAGACAAUUCCGAUAAUCUCAAAUAAAAUAGUGGUAACCUGAAAAAAAUCUUUUUAGUUUAUUUAAGCAAUCGAGAACUUAGUUUCAGAAUUUCCCAUAUUUUAAAUAUACUGAUGCAUUUUUAUUGCAUCCGUGAAUCCAUAUAAUUUUAUUUUUGGUUUCACACAAUAACGAGGGAAAUAUUUAGCUAUAUAAUGCUAUAUAUGUAUUUCAAGUGCAUAAUUUGGGAUCAUUUCAAUAUUAUUGCAAAUCAUGUAUCGUUUUGCAUUUUUUUAAGAAGCCGUUGGACCUUGACAUUAGUGAAGGGCUCAGCGAUCACCCGUCUCAUGAGCACUAAGAGGGGACUUAUGCAUAGGACGACUCAUUUUCACAUGCUCAAUCCAAGCUAGAAGCUAUCGAAGGAUGAACGGUACCUAAGCCUACAUUAGAUGUCGCGAAUGAUGCUUGCGCAAAAUUCCGCAGUGCAUUAUCCUUAUUGUGCUCUGUUGCAGUUGACUUUUAUUCUCGAAAUAUUCCUCAGAACGCCAUGGAUAAGAAUAAUAAGAAAAAGGCGCAUAGAUACCUGUUAUCCCAUCAAUUGCGCUACAAGAGCAGGGACCGCGACAAAUCCUUCUCCUAAAGCAUCAUCACCGGUGCUUUUGAUAAGGCUCAGCAACAUUAGUGGUACGGGGAAGAAGAGGAGAAUGGUUAUCGAAACGAUUCAGUGCAUAAUAAUGUUGCGUUCCUUCAACCAAGGCUUCCAACCCGGAGACCCAAUUAAAAUCUCCAAGAGGCCAAGAACCCCUGAUGCGACACCCAUAGAUCAGUGGGUUAGCCCCAAAACGCUUAAAACUUUACUUAAAGUUGUUGGUUAAGUGAAGUCGGCAGUAUCAAUCGAAUCUGCAGCUGGCCGUGAGUCGAUUGGGACAACCCGACAUUGGCUUCACGGAAGAGUAGCUGCCGUGGUGACUUAAGCAAUCAUGCGGUCCCCACCCGAAAGAUGAACCAAUCUCAAACCUUAUACUAGCAAGGUAAUAACAUUUUUACAAGUGCAUCUCCAGCACGGAAAGGCUGAGAACUGGUCUAGUCAGUGGUACACUACAUCACUGUGUACACUGUGAUAACCUGCGCGUUUAGAUUUUUACCGGGAACGUGUCAUGCUUCACACUUCCAGGUUUAUGUAUUAUAGACCUAGUAGUGGUCAAGAUAUUCAUGGCAGGGUGAGGUGCUUGGGGACGCCCGAUAAACUGCUUCAGAGAGCAGUAGACUGCUACACAGAUGGCUACACGGAUAAAUGGCUUGGCCAGAGCAGGCUUCUGCAGAGGACACAUGUGGAACACGCUAUAGAUAUAGCUAUAGCCUUAAUGUCUGAAAGGGCUUAUUCUAGGCUAGUGCUGGAGUGCAAGAAAGUCCUACAAAAUCUGGUGAUCUAGCUCGUUUAGGUACUCGAUCAUUCGAGCAAUAAGAGUAACGAUGAAAUGAACUUGCCAGACUGGGAAUAGAACCCAUUAUUGAUCUAAGUAAAGGUGUCGCUUAUGCUCUCGCUCAACAGUUUGUUUGCAAGUCUGGCUCAGCGGAGAUGGAUUUAGAAACAAAAGCAUGGCACCAUAAGCAUAACGGAUGAUCAGGAGUGCCUCUGGUGCAUGAAUGAGGAUGAAACUACAGCCCACGUCAUCUGUAAGUCCCCGGAAUUUACAAGUGCGCGGUUCAAACACUUGGGCAAGACUCACAGCUUAUCUAAUGACAUCAAAAGGUUCGAGCCAAAGCGCCUCGUCGGUUUCUCAACGGAGAACGACCUUUGGUAUUGUCAAGUGGGGCACGACUGGCCUAUCAUAAGGUGUAUGUACUUAACGGUCCUUGGCCGCCCACAACCCUAAUAUGAGCUAUGAACCAAUCAACUCGACAAAAUCUUUUUUCUUUCAGGAUCUAUUAUGUUGAAAAAUGGUGAUUGAAUGAAUAUUUGACUGACUUUUGGUUUUUUUGUAUACUUUAAAUGGUCCUCACUGCGAGGAAGUCUUGAAGCGACUGACUGACUCGUGACUGUAUUUCGUCUAUAUCUAAUAAUCUUAUUAACUUUUUCGUGACUAAAAGUCUGUUUCAAUUUAUCGCUUUUGUUGUUUUUUUAGCUAAAGAGCAACCUCAUGGAAUAAUCAUUUUUUCAAGUAUCGUUGACAACAGAUUUUAUUUUCAGAAAUUUAUUUAGAGUCAAUUUUGCAGCAUUACAGAAAUUACAAUUUUUCCACUGAUAACCUUCAUAUUUGCCUUUGAAUAUGUUUUUCUUCGACUAGUCGUUUGUUUUAUAUUGUCUCGAUAAUUUUCUGAUAUUUUUUAAUUAUGUUUUAGUUAAGCAAAGCCUGUAUAGAGAUAUGUUUGUUAAUGUUAAUCUCGUUGUUUUAGUCACGAGUGUUGUUGUGGUAUUUUUAAAAAGGUAAUUAAAUAAUCUAUGGAAUGUGAUAUCAAUCAACCCCCAUUUCUAUUUAAGAUUGUAGAGGUUGUGUCCGCCGCAGCUUGAGAGUUGAAAAAUUCAGUUGAGCUACUGCCGUUUAUAUAUAAUUAAAUCUUUUAUAGGGACCGAAAUUUUUAAAUUGACACCAUGUAUAGGAAAAUAUAUUCAAGCAAUUGAUCAUCAAAAGUGUUUCAUCCUCACCAGAUUAACAAUAUCAACUAUUUGAAACACAAAUUAGCUUAAACACUUAAAAACCAUCAACUAUCAUCACUGAAAAUCUAGGUAAUUGAACAUUUUUUCAUCGUCUCAAUACUAUAGGAGGGACAGGACAGGAGAGGACAGGAGCUUUUGUAAGCAACGACCAAUAUUGCCAAUUGAUAUAGUAAAUUUUUUCCUCUUUUUUCAAAUCAAUAUAUUAUGAGUAAAAAUUCCAAAGAAUGAGACUAAAGUGGUCAAAAGAAUAAAUGGUCUAUGAAAAAAAAAUUAUUUGACAUGAUAAAGGUCUAUAACUUAAUUCAAACGUUUUGAUAAGAGAUGACGUAACUUGUAUAAUAUUACUACUAAUAAUUUUUUUCACUCAAAUAUGUCGAACAUUGUUUCCGAAAAAGUGUUUUUGUGGGGAGUUCUUCGUCAUUACUUUAAUAUGAAGAAAAAUACUGCCGAAAGUCGUCGUAUUUUGGUGGAACUUUAUGGUAAACAUGCUCUAGCUGAACGAACGUGCCAAAAGUGGUUUGCAUGAUUUAAAAGUGGAGAUUUUGGCUUGGAAGACGGUGAACGUCCUGGGCAGCGAAAAAAGUUUGAAGAUGAAGAACUGGAAGCAUUACUCUAUGAAGAUUGUUGCCAAACACAAGAAGAGCUCGCAGAAUCUUUGGAUGUCACUCAAGCAGCAAUUUCAAAACGUUUAAAAGUAGCUGGAUAUAUUCAAAAGCAAGGACACAUGAACCCAAGCCGAGAUACGUCGAAAGGCGGUUUUGCAUGUCCGAAAUCUGGCCAACAAGUCAAUUAAACGGCAAAGCCGAAUAUCGCGAAGGUAAUGCUCUGUAUUUGGUGGGAUCAGAAGGGUGUGCUGUAUUAUAAACUGCUAAAUCCGGCCGAAAUCAUCAAUGGAGAACGCUACCGAACACAAUUAAUCCGUUUGAAGAGAGCAGUAGCCGAAAAACGCACGGAAUAUGCGAUUAGACACAAGGCAAUAAUUUUCCAUCGUGACAACGCUCGGCCACACAUUGCUAUUCCGUUUAAGAAAUAUAUGGAAAACUUUGACUCUGCCUCUUUUGACUACCAUUUGUUCCGGUCGAUGCAGAACACCCUCACUGGAAAACGGUUCACAUCAGAGCAAGGUAUCAAAGAUUGGCUCGAUUGAUUCUUGGUGCAGUUCUUUUGGGAUGGGAUUCUCAAAUUGCUAGAAAGAUGGGAAAAGGUCAGAGCUGAGGCUAUUCUUAGAAUAAUACUAUUGUACAUUUUUUUU